UAUAGGUAUAGUCGAGCGCAGACUUUGGUGUGCUGUGCCAGCCGCCAGGAUGUAAAAACACAUGUACAUACAAAAACACCCACACGGCACACAAUAAGUUGUUUAUUAAAGUACCGCACGUUGAUUUAAACAUGAGAAGAACUUGGUUAAAGAGAGCUGGCAAAUAUCCGCAUAAUCUUUCAAAAAAGACUAUAAAGCAUUUAUUUUUGUGAAGAUCACUUCGAUUUGCAAAAUGACAUGGAAAGCUACCAUAGGUAUAAAAUUAAGAAUUUAUAUGAAAUCUAAUUGCAUUCCUUCAAAAUUUGAUUGUCAAAAUACAUCAACAAUGGAACCACUAAUAAUUGAUAAGAAGAACUUGAGGCAGAUUCUGAAGAAAAACAAAUGAAAGAUUAUGAGGUACCAAUAAUAUAUGCUAGUAUAAAGUUUAAAUUUAUUGGUGCUUUCAUCGAAGAAAUGAAAAGAGUUUUUGUUAACCAAGAAAUCAUAACAGGCAGUUAAUAGAUGACAUUCUGAAGUAGUUGGAAUAAAUACUGAGAUUUCUUGAUCUGCUGUGUCUGGCCCUAACAUGCCCUUGCCAACACAAGCCUAGGAAAGUGCAAGGGCUUGGUUCUUUAACAGAUUCUUUGCAACUUCAUAAGCUGAGUUUGGAUUAUCCCAGAUAAAAAACACCAUCAGGACAUGACAUCAAACAAACACGAUACCAAAGGCAAGAACCAGUUUGUUGUACAGAUCCCCAUUAUCCAGGAUGUCGCGCUUACUAAAUGCUGUCUCCGAUACUAUCAACUAGAUUAAUAAUAAUAAUAAUAAUGUAUUUAAUUUUCUCCCUUAAACAUUAACAAUAAUAAUUGUAUGUUUGCAGAGUGAAUUCGCAGUAGCGAUAUAGUGUAAAUUAUGUGUCUAAUUUUUAUGUACAUUGUUAUAUUUUUAUUAAAUGUUUCUACACAUUGUCGUAUUGGCAUAGGCUGUAUAUAUAAUGUAUGUCUGAAA